GAUGAACGCUGGCGGCGCGCCUAACACAUGCAAGUCGAACGAUUAAAGCACCUUCGGGUGUGUAUAAAGUGGCGAACGGCUGAGUAACACGUGGGCAACCUGCCCCUUUCAUUGGGAUAGCCACGGGAAACCGUGGAUAAUACCGAAUACUUCGAGACUUCCGCAUGGAAGACUCGAGAAAGCUCCGGCGGAGAGGGAUGGGCCCGCGGCCUGUUAGCUUGUUGGUGGGGUAACGGCCUACCAAGGCAAUGAUGGGUAGCUGGGUUGAGAGACCGACCAGCCAGAUUGGGACUGAGACACGGCCCAGACUCCUACGGGAGGCAGCAGUGGGGAAUCUUGCACAAUGGGCGAAAGCCUGAUGCAGCGACGCCGCGUGCGGGAUGAAGGCCUUCGGGUUGUAAACCGCUUUCAGCAGGGACGAGGCGAAAGUGACGGUUCCUGCAGAAGAAGCCCCGGCUAACUACGUG
rnacentral:rRNA from 1 species